GAUGUUAUAUUAAUAGCUAAAUUAUUGUUGUUCUAUUUAUCUUAUUUUUAUGCAUAUCGUCCAUGAAAUAGAGAUAUUUAUUUAUUUAAUUUUUGUUAAAGAUCGAACCUUUUCAAUAUAUGAUUACAGGAGGUAUAUAAGGCUGCUCUUGCAGAAAAGUAUAGCUCAGAGAUUGAAUCACAAUUUUCAUUUGAUGUUACUAUGUGGGUGGAAGCUACAGG
rnacentral:lncRNA from 1 species